UACGAAGGGGGCGAGCGUUGUUCGGAUUUACUGGGCGUAAAGGGCGCGUAGGCGGCCCUCCUUGUCGCGUGUGAAAGCCCCGGGCUUAACCUGGGAAUUGCGGUUGAAACUACAGGGCUAGAAUCUGGCAGAGGGGGGUGGAAUUCCACGUGUAGCAGUGAAAUGCGUAGAGAUGUGGAGGAACACCGGUGGCGAAGGCGGGUCUCUGGGGCAUAACUGACGCUGAGGAGCGAAAGCAUGGGGAGCGAACAGG
rnacentral:rRNA from 1 species